UACGUAGGGACCAAGCGUUGUUCGGAAUUACUGGGCGUAAAGCGCGCGUAGGCGGCUUUGUAAGUUAGAGGUGAAAGCCCGGGGCUCAACUCCGGAACUGCCUUUAAGACUGCAUCGCUUGAAUCCGGGAGAGGUGAGUGGAAUUCCGAGUGUAGAGGUGAAAUUCGUAGAUAUUCGGAAGAACACCAGUGGCGAAGGCGGCUCACUGGACCGGUAUUGACGCUGAGGUGCGAAAGCGUGGGGAGCAAACAGG
rnacentral:rRNA from 1 species